rnacentral:RNase_P_RNA from 1 species
UGAGGCUGCCGGGCGGCCGCGCGCCGCAAGGUGUGAGGAAAGUCCGAGCUCCAUAGGGCAGGGUGCCGGGUAACACCCGGCGGGGGCGACCCCAGGGAAAGUGCAACAGAGAGAUACCGCAUGCCGGGCAUGCGCACGGCGUGUAAGGGUGGAAAGGUGAGGUAAGAGCUCACCCGCGGCCUGGCGACUCGUCCGCGAUGUAAACCCCACUCGGAGCAAGAAACGAAAGAGCGUUUGAGACGGCCCGUCAAGCUCUCAGGAUUUCGCUUGAACCCAUCGGUGACGAUGGGUCUAGAUAGAUGACCGCCUAAGACAGAACUCGGCUUACAGGCAUCGCUCACAGA